UAAUGAUACACCGUUAUUUUCUUAAACCGGUAUGACAUCACACCGGAAUUUCCAUACCUUUAUUUCUAUAAAAUUUUCCCAUACGCGACCGGAAAGUAUCGGUACGUUGUCGGUACUCUGCGUUCCAGUAUGAACCUCCGUAUCAUAGUACAUUGACCCAGAUAUUACUAUCGUUCUAUACAACAGCCAAUAUAUCGAUUUAUAAAUAACUUGCGAAUUAAGACGUAUAUCUCAUCUUGCGAAGAAAUUAAAAUUAUUCGGUAAAAUGUCGAUAUAUUAGGAUACACGAUAUCAUACAGUAAUGUUCGCAAAAUUCGAUACAAGAACGUCACGGCACUUAGCUGCGCGAAAUAGUAGGUUUCGUAAGGAGAGCCGGCCUAGCGCAGCCGGCGCAAUUAGAAUGAGGAUCGUGCGUAGGCAGACACGGACGACGCUCGUUUCCUUUGUGCCCGCUUUCGCCACGCGACAUUAAAGUUCAAUCGAAAUUCUCCAUUUCAACGACGACGACACGCUCCGAACUGUUCUCCCGUUUCUCAGCUUUCGCGUACGCUGCAGCUAAAAAAAAAAAAAAAAAAAAACAAAAAACAAAAGACACACAAAAAGUAGCGGCGAAAUUCACGACAAAAGCUGUUCGCGUGGAAUGUGGAUCCGUAUUUGUACAUCAAUUACGAAGGCCCACGGAGGGUCGAUGAACUUUGCUUGUUUCGCCGGUAUCAGAUAGCGGCCUGUCGGUAUUUAAAUACCAACGGCGUGCAUACCGUUACGUGAAACAACGAGGCUGAAGCCUAAUACGACAACUUCGGGUCACGUAAGCCUCGUCCUGGAACAAGAGGAGUCCGAUAUAGAGGGGAAAGGGUAAGGAAGAGGAGGAAGGACGAACGUGGAAAGACUCGAUGAAGCCGAAACUCACGGUGGGAGAGGGCACCACCAAAGGCUGUACGCGUGCCUCCUUCGCGACUGCGCGUUGCGCGCGCAUUUCACGGUUCAAUUAUCGAGGGAGGGCUGCGGAUAGGUCAGGAGGAAGCGAGAACGAGCCGCGAACCGGUCGUGGCUGGACGGAGAGGAGAGAGACCAGCGUCGAAGGUGGGAGGAAAAUCGGAGGGGGUAAAUAAAGUAAAGAGGAAGCGGGCACGGCACGGAGGCGGUUAGGGGCGGUUACUGGUUAGGUCUGAGCACCGCCCAACAGGCUCUGCCCCUUUUUUGCCCGGGGGCCGAAGUCCUGGCCGCUUCCCUACUACCAUUCCCCUGUCUGGUCGGGGCAAAGCCGAUCGGAUAGCCGGCAGUCUGUCACGGGGCGAAGAACGGGAACCACGUUAACCGGUUUCCCUUAAGCAUCGCAACGUUUUGCGACCCACUGGCAUUUUUUUUAACGCACACCCGACGGCCGUGGGGAACCGACUCCACGACCCCUUCGACCGAAUCGAGUUCUCCAGUACUCCUGUGAUACACCGCUAGUGAAGUGUGCGCCGACAGAGACUCUCUCACACGUCGCGAGAAACCGUCCAGGUGACGCGUCGGGCCACGCAGGGAAGACAGUCGGUUUCGUGGACCAGCUGAGAACCGACAGGAUUCCGCCAACAACCGGGCCUGCUCCCUGAAGCGUCAACCGAGAUGUUGACCGACAUGACGCCGGCUGCGGCUGGACAACUCUACCCGCAGCUACAGUCCAUCGCCAAGUCGCCAGUUCACGGACAUGUGGACCAUCCGGGGUUACGUGGCACGCCGCUGGCGAUGCUCGCGGCUCAGUGCAACAAAUUGAGCAGCAAGAGUCCCCCGCCGUUGGCCGACGCGGCCGUGGGCAAGGGUUUUCAUCCUUGGAAAAAGAGCCCGCAGAGCAGUGGCAGUUCGCCUCAGCACUCGACUGGGAGCGGCGGAGGCGGAGGGGGCGGAGGCGGAGGAUGCACGACGACCGGAGUGAGUCAAAGACCAGCGGCGACGAGCAGCGCGGGCAGCACGGGUGGUUACGCGAGAGCCCCUGUCACCUCUUGCGCGUCCACGGCGCCACAGUACGGGAGCGACCUGUACUUCCCGGGGACGGCGAGCGCCCAACCAGCGAGCGAUCCGCAUCAUCAUCAGAGCAGCCUGCUAGGGAAGGUCGAAGGAGCGACCUUGGGCUCGGUGUACGGUCGACACCCGUACGAGUCGUGGCCGUUCAACGCGAUGCCAGGCGCGACCCACAGUGGUAUAAAAGCAAGCGACGGCUGGUGGGACGUGCACGGAGCCGCGACGGCCGGCGGAUGGCUGGACGUAAGCAGCACGGUAGGCGUCGGCGUCCACGCCGCCCAAAUGGCCAACUACUCGGCCGACUACUCCACAAGUCUAGCGCUCGCUGGCAAUCAUCUGUUGACCACCGCGACCACCGCCGGUCAUAAUCUGCUCCAAGACACGUACAAAUCGAUGCUACCGGGUGGCCCGCCCGGUUUCGGGCUUCAUCAUCACGCGGCCGCGACCGCUGGUGCUGGCGCCGGUGCCGGUAGCCCGCAAGGCAGCGGCGGUGGCGUCGGCGUCGGGGCCGGCGGUGUCAGUCAAGCGCCGUCGCCGCGCUCGCAAAGACGGUACACCGGAAGAGCCACCUGCGACUGUCCAAACUGCCAAGAAGCCGAGAGGCUCGGUCCGGCUGGCGUGCAUCUCAGGAAGAAGAACAUCCAUAGCUGUCACAUACCGGGAUGCGGUAAGGUCUACGGGAAAACGUCGCAUCUGAAGGCCCACUUACGGUGGCACACUGCGGCACCUUCGAACCCACACCGGCGAAAAGAGAUUCGCCUGCCCGGUCUGCAACAAGCGGUUCAUGCGCAGCGACCAUCUCGCGAAGCACGUCAAGACCCACAGCAGCAGCAGCAGCAGCAGCGGCAGCAAGGGCAAGGGGGGAGCGGGGAGCUCGUCAGCCGAGUCCUGCUCCGACAGCGAGGACAACGGGAGUCAGCAGAGUCCCACUUCCAGCUCGGUGCCGCCGCAGCCGCAGCCGCCGCCGCCGCCGCAGCAGCAGCAGCAACAGGGCCAACAACCGGCUCAGGCUCAGCAGCAACAAGCUCUGGUGGCGGCGGCGGCGGCGGCGGCGGCAGCGGCAGCGGCGGUGGCGGCGGGCCAGGACACCAACAACACCACAUCCCAGACCACCACCAAUCACGGCCAUCAGCCGACAACGCCCAUGACCCCAAUACAGAUGACCCCGCCGCCUCUGACCCCACACCAUCCCCACCACCCGCAUCUCCCUCCUCUAAUGCACCAUCCGCAUCAUCACGCAACAUCCGUCCAGGCGGCGGCCCACCACCCGCACGCGGGGAUGAGCAUGCACUGAGCCCGGUGGGGCCCGGAACCGGUGCCUGCAGUUCCGCUGCCGCAACGGCCCUGGGCUCCCCCCUAUCCUACCCCCUCAACCUAAACCUCGUUCAGAAUCACGCGACCAUCGCCCACCAUCACGCCACCGCCCAUCACCAACACCAGAAUCACCAUCACCAUCACCACCACCACCAUCACCACCAACAGCAACAACAGCACUCACGUCAAAGCAACUCCUAUUCCGUGCAACAAAAUCCUGGCACGCCGGGGACCGCGCAGACUCCCUCACCCUCGUCCCCCGCGCCUGUACAUAGUCUCUAGGUUGACGCUUCGCCUCUUUCGUACCCUCUUCACCUCUCGACCUACACCUGGUAGUACCGACGAAAUUGCGCUUUCGAAUCUUCGGUUUCACCUAAUCGACCCUAGAAUCCCCCUUACCUCGAACAGCCUCGACUGUUAACGUUUUACCUGCCGGCCUGUCUCGAUUCGAAUGACCGCAAUUGGUUCUUAGAGUUCGAUAACUUUUUUUUACGUCUAAUGCAGUAACAGAUUGAGUCCCGAACGAAAUUUCCACGACUUUCCAUUCGCGCCGAAAUCCUCACAGCUUCUUUAUUUAGCUUGUUUUCGACGUUUACAGAAAUCGAUAUACGAAAACUAAAAGCAUUCGAUACAUCGAUCAACUUAUUCCCGAUGUGUCUAGUAUUCCUAAUGACGUUCGGAAGUUUGCAAGAAUUAAGAUCUAUCAAUGUUGAGCGUUUUAAUCGCGGCUCAAACGGAAAGAACGACAUCGGUGUUCGUCACGGCACUCAACCUGUUAAUCCGAGCGAGAGUCAACUUGCGCUCCCUAUAGGUACAUCGAAACCCUUGAUUAUUCCCUUAAAUUGAGUACUAUAAAUUGACAGUUGAGAUUCCCUACUGUUACCAGCGAAAUUAAAGAGACACUGUUAAUCGACUCCUGGCAGGUAAGCUGUUAAACGUUUUUAGAAUUGAACAUUACAUCCUGACUAUCGAGUCCUGUCGGAAUGUCCGUCCUAACAACUAACGUUUUGAGGGAUUCCAAUUAGGGAUGUUCAAUUCUUCCAUAAAGAUUGAUUCUGGAAUCGAUUUUGGAAUCGAUUUUUCUUAAUGACCGGAGUCGAUCUUCUAAAAAAUCGACUACAAAAUUCAUCUGUCGAAAUAGAUUCAAAGAUUCGUUUUCCUUUAAGCUAUACAGGGUUUCCAACUUAAACGCCACUGAUAAUAGGAUAUGACAAUUUUUUUUAUGCUAAGGUAAGUGGACCUACUUUUGACACUAACUCAGUCAUCGACACUUUCAAUUUAAUCCGAUGGUAUGGUUAUUAACGUAAAUUCGAUCGUUGCUCGGUGCAAAAUAAAUAUGGUAAACAAAGUCGUCGAAUAAGACAGAAUUAAGUACAGAUAUUCAUUGAAAAAAUCAAAAAUCACGAGAAAGUGGACUCUUCUGAAAAUUAUUUAGAAUUGAACAUCCCAAAUUGAAACCAUUCAAGUAUCCGAAUCAGUCGAUGGCUGCCAACCCUUUCCUCGCCGACUCCUUACCCCUCGAUCCUUCGUCCUCCGUUCGUCGGCAGUUCGAGCCUUUCCCAGCACCCGAUACUACCGACUUUCUUACUUGUAAAUACUAUACAUAGCGCGUGAGAAAGAUUAUUAUAUUAAUUAAGCGGUGUAAUGUUGUAAAAAAUUCUAUAUAAACGCACUGUCGCGCUGUACCAUACACUGACACGUAGGACACACGCAACAAAUGCAUAUAUUACGAAAAGGCGCGCGUAAAUCAUUGUCGUUCUCGCGUUCGUCUCCUCUCGACCCCGAUUCUCAGGCAGAGAUGGGCAAAGUCGUCAUCUAAAUAAAAAUCCCAACCUUCGAACGAAAGAUAUACGAUUUUCAUCGAUUGUUCGUCGAAUAAAAAUAAUUCGAGUUAUUCCCGUUCGACAAACAGGGAAUUACCAUAUUUAUUCGACGGACAACGAAUAAAUACGUUCGUCCCAAGUGAAUUUAUUCAACGAAUAAGGGUACUGUUUCGUUCGACGAACAGUUUGUCUUCUGUAUCGAACAAAGUCGUUAAAUAAAAGAUGGUUUUCAUUCGUGUUUAUUCGAAGUUCAUUUGAAACCUUCGAAUGAACUUCGAAUAACGAUAUGUAUAAAGAUGGAAACCGCCGAAAGACUAACUGUGUAUCGAAUACAAAAAAAGUAUCUCUGCUCGUCGAAUGAAGAUAUCUGUUCGAAGUUCAUAUUUUUCUUUGAAUAUGGUUCUCACGCAUAUAAAUGUUUCUAUCGAUGUUUAUUCGAGGGUUUCGAAAAAAACUUAAAGUUUGAUGGAAAUUUUAUCCGAACCAUUCGUCGAAUAAGGACAACUGCUGUUAUUCGAACCCUUCGAAUAACGGAUGAGGGUGAGGUGUCUUUGUUCGAUUUUUUUUUUUUUUUUUUUAUUUAAAUAAUUUCUUUUUAUUCAGAUGACGCCCAUCUCUGUUCUCGGUGGACGCGACGAGGAGACCCGACGAAUAAACGCGCGACGUCCGCGUACGAUCAUUCGAUCCAGGGAUAGAGACGUUCUCCGAGGCAGGUUCCAAACAUCGAUCGCGACGGGAGGACGCGUGUCGGAUUUUCUCAUUGUCGCGAUUAUUGAAAUAUUAUUUCCCCCUCCCCCUCCCACCCCUGAAGCCGCGAUCGCGUUUGGAACUUGGUAUUCGGAUCACAUCCCGUUAUCGGGCGACAACCUUCUUCGACCUUAAUAUCACGAUAUUAUGAAUUAAUUAAUUAAUUAAUUAUUAUUAUUAUUAUUAUUAUUAAUUAUUAUUAUUAAUUAUUAAUAAUUAUUAUUGAUGUAUUAUUAUAAAGAUUAUAAAUUCAUUUUGAAAGAGAUAAAGAGGAAAUAAACGAUGCUUUUGUGAGUAACGAUUGUGCCUGGAUGAUGAUUCCCUUCGUGAUCGUGUUCUCCACUAAACAUCUAUCAUCCCCUAGCUCGGCCCUUGCUCCUGCUGCUGCUACUACGGAGUCCCGCGACGCCGCCCCCUGGAAAGACGCCCUCGGCACCAGAUCGUUUCCCCCCUCGUACCCGAAAAUAGCGGAAGGACCAUCCACUCGAUACGAACGAGACCGCGACCGACGCUAAAGAGAAUAUGUUCGGUACGUGAACUAGAGCUGCCAGUACACGUCGAAUUGUCGAUUUCCGGCCCAGAGGAACCGACCUUAGAAUUCGGUGCAUCGUUCAGAGGAUAAGGAUGGCCACGCACUCCCAGGAAUUGUAAUUUCAUGAUUAAAUAAAAUUGCAAACCGUUGAGGUCAAGAUAAUGUCAAAUAGUAAAUGCCCGUAUUAAACGUUAAUGUCGCAGUUAUUCUAAUAUUUACAUUGUAUGUUGAAUUCAGAAAAAUAAAAUACGCAAA